rnacentral:rRNA from 1 species
GACGUAGGGCGCGAGCGUUGUCCGGAUUUAUUGGGCGUAAAGAGCUCGUAGGCGGCUUGUUGCGUCGUCCGUGAAAACCUGGGGCUCAACUCCAGGCUUGCGGACGAUACGGGCAGGCUAGAGUUCGGUAGGGGAGACUGGAAUUCCUGGUGUAGCGGUGAAAUGCGCAGAUAUCAGGAGGAACACCGGUGGCGAAGGCGGGUCUCUGGGCCGAUACUGACGCUGAGGAGCGAAAGCGUGGGGAGCAAACAGG